GGCGAACGGGUGAGUAACACGUGAGCAACCUACCCUUGACUCUGGGAUAACAGUUGGAAACAGCUGCUAAUACCGGAUACGACCCCGGCAGGCAUCUACCGGGGUGGAAAGCUCCGACGGUCAAGGAUGGGCUCGCGGCCUAUCAGCUUGUUGGUGGGGUAACGGCCCACCAAGGCGACGACGGGUAGCCGGCCUGAGAGGGCGACCGGCCACACUGGGACUGAGAUACGGCCCAGACUCCUACGGGAGGCAGCAGUGGGGAAUAUUGCGCAAUGGGCGAAAGCCUGACGCAGCAACGCCGCGUGCGGGAUGACGGCCUUCGGGUUGAAAACCGCUUUCAGCAGGGACGAAGGGUUUCUGACGGUACCUGCAGAAGAAGCACCGGCUAACUACGUGCCAGCAGCCGCGGUGAUACGUAGGGUGCGAGCGUUGUCCGGAAUUAUUGGGCGUAAAGAGCUUGUAGGCGGUCCGUUGCGUCGGAAGUGAAAACUCGGGGCUUAACCCCGAGCCUGCUUUCGAUACGGGCGGACUUGAGGGAUGUAGGGGAGAACGGAAUUCCUGGUGGAGCGGUGGAAUGCGCAGAUAUCAGGAGGAACACCAGUGGCGAAGGCGGUUCUCUGGACAUUUCCUGACGCUGAGAAGCGAAAGCGUGGGGAGCAAACAGGCUUAGAUACCCUGGUAGUCCACGCCGUAAACGGUGGGCACUAGGUGUGGGACCCAUUCCACGGGUUCCGUGCCGUAGCUAACGCAUUAAGUGCCCCGCCUGGGGAGUACGGCCGCAAGGCUAAAACUCAAAGGAAUUGA
rnacentral:rRNA from 1 species